GCCGUGAUCGUAUAGUGGUUAGUACUUCUCGUUGUGGCCGAGACAACCCAGGUUCGAAUCCUGGUCACGGUA
rnacentral:tRNA from 1 species